UCCCCCGAUUGAUAAGCAGAGAAGAGAAGAUGAUCCUGUCAAGCCCAUUCCUCGACCCAGUGCUACUCCCAGUCCAUCACCUGAAGGGAGAGCAUAAGACAAAAGCCAGAGGGCAGAACACGACGGAACAGUAUUCAGGUGAGCACCAUUUAUCUGUUGUGCACUUUUCAUCACUAAAGUUGAUCACUAAAGCUGGAGAGAAGAUUCAAGACGUUCAACUUCAUCAUGGAAGUCAAGACCAACCUGAAACAAAGACAAAUCAAGCAUGAGCUGUCAGCUUUGUCCUAGAAAGACCACUCACGCUAUGACUGCUGUGUGGUUAUCAUGCUGUCCCAUGGGACUAAGGUAAG